rnacentral:pre_miRNA from 1 species
GUAGUACUCUCUCCGUUUCAAAUUAGUUGACUCAGAUUUGUCUAGAUACAUCUGUAUCUAGAUAAAUCUGUAUCUAGAUGAAUCUGUAUCUAGAUAAAUCCAAGUCAACUAAUUUGGAACGGAGGAAAUAAUAU